rnacentral:rRNA from 1 species
AUGAGUAGCGGCAUCUUCACUAGGAAGGCCAGCGAAUUGAUCUUUCAUAACAAGAUUCAACAAAGCAGCAUUGAUUUCACAAGAUUCGGUAUUGGCAAGAGGAGCAAUUGGAGUGCUAAGGAAAUAAUUAUUAUUGGUAUUGGUGAAGUCACACAAUUUGGUAGUAUCAUGAGCCAUUGCGACAAACAAGCAAACAAACUAGCACACGAGCAAACAAAGGCAAACGGGCAAAAGAGGCAAAUAGAGAGGGAGGAUAGAGAGAGGGCGAAUAAAACGGCAAGAGUGAAUUGGGGGAGAGGAAAACGAGAGGCAAAUGGCAAAUAA